ensembl:lncRNA
GAGAGAAAAAGAGAAGGGAGAAUGAAAGACAAUGAGAGAGAAAGAAUGAUAGAGAGAGACAAACAGAGGCAGCCCAUGGCGUGAUGCAGAAUGAGCCUGCACAGAUAUGGAGAGAUUAGCCAGCCGCUGCUAUAACACUGGCCUGUUUUUAUGACUGCUAAAGCCUCUGGCAGCAGCUAAAGCCACUCUCAUGGGCUCCAAAAGCCCCGGCGUCUCCUGCGGCUCACAAAGACAGAAUAGAGACAAUGAAGAAAACAGCCUCAGGCAUCAAGGCCUUCAGUAGAACAUGCUUACACUACAGAACAUUCUGACAGAACAGCAACCAUGAUGGAUCAAUUGAAGAUUCAUCAAAUCUCUGCUCACAAACACGGGGUGGUAGUUCAGUGGUUAAAGCUAAAUGUGUGCAGAGGUGGCUCAGUGGUUAAAGGAACACUCCAGUGCUUUUCAAGCUAAUCUCUG